rnacentral:other from 21 species
GUUUCAACUAUCUUUUGAUUUCUGG